CUCAGAUAAAAGCUCAGGAGUUGUCUUACUGAUCAGUCUCCUCAGGCUGCAUUCUUAAAAUGAAGUUUCCUGUUCAUCUCUUGGUGCUUCUGUUGCUCUGGGUUCCUGCUUCCAGAGGUGAUGUUGUGAUGACCCAAACUCCACUCUUCCUGCCUGUUAGCCCUGGUGAUCAAACAUCUAUCUCUUGCAGGUCUAGUCAGGGAAUUGUGCAUAGUAAUGGAAAUACCUAUUUGUCUUGGUACCUGCAGAAGCCAGGCCAGCCUCCGAAGCUCCUGAUCUACAAGGUUUCCACCCGAUUUUCUGGGGUCCCAGACAGAUUUAGUGGCAGUGGUUCAGGGACAGAUUUCACACUCAAGAUCAGCAGAAUAGAGCCUGAGGAUUUGGGAGUUUAUUACUGCUUUCAAGGUUCAAAGAUUCCUCCCACAGUGAUUUAUACCCCAACAAAAACCUCCUUGCUUAGAGUGGCCCAGCUGCUAAAUAAGUUAUUCAUCUUUGUGAAACAGAUGCAAAGCAACUCCAGAUUAUUGGUUACAGCUGUGAGAAUUGAGCUUGACAGCAUUCAGCACACAUUAACAGUUAUGCAUUUCUGACCUCAUCAUAUGCAAUAA